UUCGACCACCGCAGCAAGGCCGUUGAGUGCCUCAUCAACGCCUUCUCCACCGCCAUCGAUUAGCCCACUGCUUGACCCGGCCGCCUUCAUCGCCAUGCCUGGCUGGGCCUGCGCGGCAAGCAGCAGCAACAGGGAAGCAGGUCCUGGUGUCGCAGCACAUCGGAGAACAACACCUCACUCUCAGCCUCUGUUGUUUCCUGGAAUACAAGUCGUCCGCGUAUCUGUCCUCCCUUCUGCCAGCAUCUUGGUGUUUACAGACGGUGCACACUGCAGUACGUGGUACUUACCGGAAAGACUGCACAAAAACGAGAAAACAAGGAGUACACAGCCAAGAGAGUAUUAGUGUACAGAAGAGCAUGGUAAUGGAGUAGGACUAGCCAAUGCAGAGUUUUGGUGCACAGUGUGCUGGACUGCUGGAUCGGUGUACUAUGUUGUACUUACCAUCCACAGGCCUAACAUCGGAAAAUUGGGCUACACAUCAACUUAUGGUGAGGGUUGAUACUUUACCUACAAGUCAGUGUGGAUCUUCCCCUUCAUGCUAGGUGCUAACAAAGAAGGUUCAGGUCCCUGUGGCUCUCUUGCUAGCACCUUCAGCCACAAGUCUUAGGCGAUCAUCAAGAACUCAUCCAACCUGGUGCCUCAGUUCAAGAUUUGAAUACUUUUGCAGACCCACUUAUACAAGUCGAUCCAUCAUGGAAGCUUAACUCGGGUCAACAAACAACACAUGCAGGUUCGGUAAUUGUCAUCCAAAACUUUGGAACUCCUCACUGAUCCCAACUCCAUGUCUCUGUAGUCUCGCCCCAGGUCUCUUUGGCACUUCAACCCGAAGCAUUUGGGCUGCAACUCGCAACUCAUAACGGAGCAAUUCUACGCAUCCAGGAUGCAUAUUGAUUCUAGGACAAUAAGGCGCUAUCUACCGCAGUUGCAGCCAAUGAUUUCGUAUUAGCUCCAGGUCAUUGGGAGAUUGCUCCUCAGUCAGUAUUAAACAGUUCAUCAUUCAGUCAAAACAGGAUCUAUCACAUUCCGAGGCACCACAACUAUCGACUGCAUCAUCAGGUUAAGCUGCCACUUAGGUUGCUUGAUAGAAGUGUUGCUUUUUGGGCUUAAGUGAUUCUCUAGCAUCUGGGUUAUGCUCAAUGAGAGUUGUUCUUUGAGAACAUGCACUGCUGCCGUUCAGACAUGUAAAGCGUUGGUAAUUAAUGAAAUUCCCCAUAUGAAAAAGUCAAAAGCUUCCAUUGGAUUUUUUCUGUUUGUUUGUGAGAGCAUAAACGUUGUUUAUCAUGUUGUAAGAGAUAUGUUCACUUAUUUUCCAUUUCUGAUUACCUACAACGUGAGAUAUCC